rnacentral:rRNA from 1 species
ACACUCCUGCGGGAGGCAGCAGUGGGGAAUAUUGGACAAUGGGCGCAAGCCUGAUCCAGCCAUGCCGCGUGAGUGAUGAAGGCCCUAGGGUUGUAAAGCUCUUUCACCGGAGAAGAUAAUGACGGUAUCCGGAGAAGAAGCCCCGGCUAACUUCGUGCCAGCAGCCGCGGUAAUACGAAGGGGGCUAGCGUUGUUCGGAAUUACUGGGCGUAAAGCGCACGUAGGCGGAUCGAUCAGUCAGGGGUGAAAUCCCAGGGCUCAACCCUGGAACUGCCUUUGAUACUGUCGAUCUGGAGUAUGGAAGAGGUGAGUGGAAUUCCGAGUGUAGAGGUGAAAUUCGUAGAUAUUCGGAGGAACACCAGUGGCGAAGGCGGCUCACUGGUCCAUUACUGACGCUGAGGUGCGAAAGCGUGGGGAGCAAACAGGAUUAGAAACCCCAGUAGUCCC